UCCGAAGGUGGCAAGCGUUGUUCGGAUUUACUGGGCGUACAGGGAGCGUAGGCGGUUGGGUAAGCCCUCCGUGAAAUCUCCGGGCCCAACCCGGAAAGUGCGGAGGGGACUGCUCGGCUAGAGGAUGGGAGAGGAGCGCGGAAUUCCCGGUGUAGCGGUGAAAUGCGUAGAGAUCGGGAGGAAGGCCGGUGGCGAAGGCGGCGCUCUGGAACAUUUCUGACGCUGAGGCUCGAAAGCGUGGGGAGAAAACAGG
rnacentral:rRNA from 1 species